AAUCAAAUUCAAAACAAUUCAAAGAAAUUUCAAAUAAAUAAUAAAAUUCUUAAAAAAAUAUUAAAAUGAUCACAAAUAUUACCCAAAUAUAUGUCAAUUCAACCUUAAUUUAAUUAUAAUUAAAAUCCUAUUGAAUUUCACUCAAACUUUAGACCAAACUUAAUUAAAUCUUAAACCCUAAUAAAUCCUAAAUCCUAAGUUAAAUCCUAAACAAACCUUAAACCAAAUCCUAAAUCCUAAUCCAAACUCUAAUCCAAUCCUAAAUCCUAGUCCAAAUCCUAAACCCUAAACCAAACCUUAAAUCAAACCCUAAUUCAAAUCCUUAAUCAAAUCCUAACCAAACCCUAAAUCCUAAUUCAAACCUUAAACUCUAAAUCAAACCCUAAAUCGAACCCUAGCCAAACCUUAAAUCAAAUCCUAAUCCAAAUCCUAAAUCAAACCCUAACCAAAUUCUAAAACCUAAUCCAAAUCCUAAUCCAAACCCUAACCAAAUCCUAAAUCAAAUUCCAAAUCCUAAUCCAAAUCCUAAUCCAAAUCCUAAAUCAAACCCUAACCAAAUCUUAAUUCAAAUCCUAAAUCAAAUCCUAACCAAAAUCUAAACCCUAAUCCAAACCCUAAUCCAAACCCUAAAUCAAACCCUAAC
rnacentral:lncRNA from 1 species